CGGUUUAAUUUAAUUCUGGUUAUGGGAGGGAUUUAGAGCAGUACUACAUAGGUCUUGUUUUUGAGAGAGGGCUGAUAGAUUUUUGGUUUGUGCUUAGUAGUUAGAUCUUGGUUUUAGGAGUAAUCCUGAUUGGGCUGUUUUAAGUGGGGUGGAGAGUUCGCAGUGCCAGCAUCCGCGGUUAUUCUGUUAAUCCCCUCUUCUGCUUGGUUUAAAUGUUUUGUAGGGUAUUCUGACUUUUGGGUAGAAUUUAUGUCUUGUUAAGAUGUGCCUGCAAGAUUUGGAGCGUUUUUUAGGAAAAGGAUUAGAGACCCUUGUACUAAAUGAGGUAUUUUGUGUCCAUGGUGCAAACUAAAAGGAUUUGGCAGCCGAUGAGAUUCCUCCGGGGGAGUGUGCGGUGUAAGAGAUAGUCCACUUAGGAUCUUGCCAUCGUUAUUAGUUAGUGUAUAUCCGGUUUAAAAUUCGUGAUUUGUGUCAUUGAGUGUUAUUUAUUGUAAUUGAAUCCAGGUCAAUGUGCUGCUUAUAUGAUGGUGCUUGUGCACUACUUUUAAAAGGUUCUUUGAUGCAAUUUAAAGAGGUUUAGGACUCGGAAGUAGGUGGAUUGAGGUUUGUUCCAUCGAAUUUGGAUUUAGUUGGGGUACAUACCGCCCGUCACCCAGGGUGAUAACUGUGGUAAGUCGUAACAUGGUAAUGUUGGGGGAACCGGACAUUAGUUGGUAUAGCUCUUAUUGGGGAGUGCCU
rnacentral:rRNA from 1 species